GAUGAAGAACGUAGCGAAAUGCGAUACGUAAUGUGAAUUGCAGAUCUCUCAGUGAACCAUCGAAUUUUUGAACGCACAUUGCGCCCCCUGGUAUUCCGGGGGGCAUGCCUGUCCGAGCGUCAUUGCUGCCCUCAAGCACGGCUUGUGUGUUGGGCCUCCGUCCUCCUCCCGGGGGACGGGCCCGAAAGGCAGCGGCGGCACCGCGUCCGGUCCUCGAGCGUAUGGGGCUUCGUCACCCGCUCUUGUAGGCCCGGCCGGCGCUUGCCGACACAUCAAUCUUUUUUCCAGGUUGACCUCGGAUCAGGUAGUGAUACCCGCUGAACUUAAGCAUAUCAAUAAGCGGAGGA
rnacentral:misc_RNA from 1 species